rnacentral:lncRNA from 1 species
UCUCCCUUAUACAGUUGCACGUCAACCUACCGGCAUGAAUGAGAUGAAGAGUACAAGUGCUGAUGGAAGCAGGCAGUAGAGACAGAUAUAACAUGAAUUAUCUGGCUUCUACCACGAGGGAUCUGAAGGGGAACAGCCUGUAGGUUUCUCUGGGCUGUGCAAAAGGAGUAGGCCUGGGCAAUGACAAACGUGCCUCACCCACUUGCUGCACCAUUCAGUUUGUGUCCCUGUACUAACACCUUAAGCCACCUUGACAACCCGUAAGCAAACAAAACUAACAGAAAACAAAAACCCAAAGGGAAAGGGAAAAAAAAGCAAAGAAACCACGACAACCAGAAACCAAAACCUGCAGCACUGCUUUGGGAACGGAGAUUUUUGGAUGCAUUAUUCAGCGCUGGAGCGUUAAUCUCCGGCAUUAACGCUCCCAUCCACAGCCGCCUCUGGGCCGGGAGCAGUGCGAGGCGCGGCCGCGAGGGGCCGACCGCGGGCCGGGAGCGAUGCGAUGGAACGGCCGCGGCCCCACGGCUGCUCCCGGCGGCGCGCAGGCUCGGCGGGCGGCGCCUCCGCGGAGCAACAGGGCUCGCGUCGGCAGCAUCGCAGCGGACGGCCGCGCAGCUCCUGCGGUUGCUGGCUGCUGCAGCUUUGCACAUCGGGCGGUGGGAGCCUGGUGGGAGAGAGCUGCUGCUUUUUCCUCGGGUGGUUUUCCUUUUUUUUUUUUUAAUUUAUUUUUUUAAUCAAUUAUUGUUAUUUUUAUGGGUUUUAUAAGCGUUACCAAAAAAACAAAAAAACAAACCGCACAACAAGUGAACGAUGCAGGUAGCUGCUGCUGUGUGGAUGUGACGGGGAGAAACAGCAAGAAGCAACACUCGUCCUCCCAUCAGGAAAGCAGAGAGAAAAAUAACUCGUCAACCUGUGGUGCCGACCGACCUACCCACCCACCUGCAGGCGUGGGUCAAUUGGCGCAGCCCCCUGCUCAGGACUGCUGUCACCAGAUCCUUACACUGGCAAGAACAGCACUGCUAUUUGUCUGCCUAUGAACAGUUAAGUGCUUCUUCUGCAUGACCAUAACCAAAGGGUGACCCAUCCACUCCCUUAUGUCCUAUGGGGACCUCAGAACCAAUUUCUCAGUCUUCAUCUCCUCCUCCUCCUCUUACCACUGCUGCUGACGCCCUGGGUGCUGCUCCCAGGUUUGAAACAUUGUUGACAGGCUGAAGAAAGGAUUUGCAAAGACCUCCUCACUGUGUAAAUAGAGUGAUGGCUGGAAUUAGUUUCAACUCCCCAAAUCAUGAUAUUAAACAAUAAUAAGAUUGCUAGGCCAAAGCAUUACCAGGAACAAAUUGUGAGGAAAGAGACUAUUUGCAUUUGGUUGCAAUGAUGAACUAAAAUCAUCUAUGGAGAGCAGGUACCCUUUGUUUUGCAUGUUUUUGUCUUCAUGAAUGUAGUCAUGAAUCUGAUCAGAUCAGUGGUAGAUAUGGGAAAUAAAUGAAAAUAAAAGGGUUCA